UACGUAGGGGGCAAGCGUUGUUCGGAAUUACUGGGCGUAAAGGGCGCGUAGGCGGCCGAUCAAGUCAGGCGUGAAAUUCCCGGGCUCAACCUGGGGGCUGCAUUUGAUACGUGUGGGCUUGAGUGCGGAAGAGGGUCGUGGAAUUCCCAGUGUAGAGGUGAAAUUCGUAGAUAUUGGGAAGAACACCGGUGGCGAAGGCGGCGACCUGGUCCGUGACUGACGCUGAGGCGCGAAAGCGUGGGGAGCAAACAGG
rnacentral:rRNA from 1 species